rnacentral:rRNA from 1 species
UACGUAGGGCGCAAGCGUUAUCCGGAAUUAUUGGGCGUAAAGAGCUCGUAGGCGGUUUGUCGCGUCGGGAGUGAAAACCAGGUGCUUAACACCUGGCUUGCUUUCGAUACGGGCAGACUAGAGGUAUGCAGGGGAGAACGGAAUUCCUGGUGUAGCGGUGAAAUGCGCAGAUAUCAGGAGGAACACCGGUGGCGAAGGCGGUUCUCUGGGCAUGACCUGACGCUGAGGAGCGAAAGUGUGGGGAGCGAACAGG